CAGGCUUAACACAUGCAAGUCGAACGAUAUAGUGGCAGACGGGUGAGUAACGCGUGGGAACGUACCUUUCACUACGGAAUAGCUCUUGGAAACGAGUGGUAAUACCGUAUACGCCCUCCGGGGGAAAGAUUUAUCGGUGAAAGAUCGGCCCGCGUUAGAUUAGCUAGUUGGUAGGGUAAUGGCCUACCAAGGCGACGAUCUAUAGCUGGUCUGAGAGGAUGAUCA
rnacentral:rRNA from 1 species